UCUGGUAGCCAUAGCGAGGUGGAUCCACCCCUUCCCAUCCCGAACAGGACGGUGAAACGCCUUUUGCGCCGAUGAUAGUGCGGUAGGUUAUCGUGUGAAAGUAGGUGACUGCCAGAC
rnacentral:rRNA from 1 species